AGAGUUUGAUCCUGGCUCAGGAUGAACGCUAGCGGCAGGCUUAACACAUGCAAGUCGAGGGGCAACGCGAGUAGCAAUACUUGGCGGCGACCGGCGCAAGGGUGCGUAACGCGUGAGCAACAUGCCCGUAUCAGGGGGAUAAUCCAGGGAAACUUGGUCUAAUACCCCAUAGUAAUUUUGUAAGGCAUCUUAUAAGAUUUAAAGCUUUGGUGGAUACGGAUUGGCUCGCGUGACAUUAGCUGGAUGGUAAGGUAACGGCUUACCAUGGCUAUGAUGUCUAGGGGUUCUGAGAGGAAGGUCCCCCACACUGGAACUGAGACACGGUCCAGACUCCUACGGGAGGCAGCAGUGAGGAAUAUUGGACAAUGGAUGGAAAUCUGAUCCAGCCAUGCCGCGUGAAGGAAGAAGGUCCUAUGGAUUGUAAACUUCUUUUGUAUGGGAGCAAUAAGGCCUACGUGUAGGUUGAUGAGAGUACCAUACGAAUAAGCACCGGCUAACUCCGUGCCAGCCGCAGC
rnacentral:rRNA from 1 species